rnacentral:rRNA from 1 species
ACAUCCAGAGAACUUUAGCAGAGAUGCUUUGGUGCCUUCGGGAACUCUGAGACAGGUGCUGCAUGGCUGUCGUCAGCUCGUGUUGUGAAAUGUUGGGUUAAGUCCCGNAACGAGCGCAACCCUUAUCCUUUGUUGCCAGCGGUUCGGCCGGGAACUCAAAGGAGACUGCCGGUGAUAAACCGGAGGAAGGUGGGGAUGACGUCAAGUCAUCAUGGCCCUUACGGCCAGGGCUACACACGUGCUACAAUGGCGCAUACAAAGAGAAGCGACCUCGCGAGAGCAAGCGGACCUCAUAAAGUGCGUCGUAGUCCGGAUUGGAGUCUGCAACUCGACUCCAUGAAGUCGGAAUCGCUAGUAAUCGUAGAUCAGAAUGCUACGGUGAAUACGUUCCCGGGCCUUGUACACACCGCCCGUCACACCAUGGGAGUGGGUUGCAAAAGAAGUAGGUAGCUUAACCUUCGGGAGGGCGCUUACCACUUUGUGAUUCAUGACUGGGGUGAAGUCGUAACAAGGUAAGCGUAGCGAG